AAUAAUUUGAAACUGGUGUUACUGACAACCUAAAUACAUUAUAGGCUAACAGAGAGCAAGAAGUCCUGGAAAAGUUGAGAGCAGCUAUACAUUCAAUCUCAUACACAGGUUAUUUCUAAGGAUUGGUGGUGGACGGAGAAAACCUAGUGGUGAGGGAGGGUCUCAUCUUCACAAUCUGUUCAGAAUCGACACCCAUUCGCAUUGCAGAUUUUCCAGCUUCGAAGAACCGCUUGACAGCGCUCUCGGCGUAUGCUAUUCCCUCUCUCACACUCAUUUGCUUCACAACCUUCUCCUGGAAAUUGGUCAGUAGAUGGUCUCCAUUCAGCACUGAAGCAAGUUGCAUCAGUUCUUGCUGGAAUUCGCUCAGCUUGGCAUCCUCGUUAGCAGUGCUGUUACGGAUUUUCACAGGAGUAGGG
rnacentral:misc_RNA from 1 species